rnacentral:rRNA from 1 species
AAGUGAGCGCAUCUUCGGGAUGAGCGGCGGACGGGUGAGUAACGCGUGGGAAUGUGCCCUUCUCUACGGAAUAGCCACUGGAAACGGUGAGUAAUACCGUAUACGCCCUCAGGGGGAAAGAUUUAUCGGAGAAGGAUCAGCCCGCGUUAGAUUAGGUAGUUGGUGGGGUAACGGCCUACCAAGCCUACGAUCUAUAGCUGGUUUUAGAGGAUGAUCAGCCACACUGGGACUGAGACACGGCCCAGACUCCUACGGGAGGCAGCAGUAGGGAAUCUUGGACAAUGGGGGAAACCCUGAUCCAGCCAUGCCGCGUGAGUGAAGAAGGCCCUAGGGUCGUAAAGCUCUUUCGCCUGUGAUGAUAAUGACAGUAGCAGGUAAAGAAACCCCGGCUAACUCCGUGCCAGCAGCCGCGGUAAUACGGAGGGGGUUAGCGUUGUUCGGAAUUACUGGGCGUAAAGCGCGCGUAGGCGGAUUGGAAAGUUGGGGGUGAAAUCCCGGGGCUCAACCCCGGAACUGCCUUCAAAACUCCCAGUCUACAGUUCGAGAGAGGUGAGUGGAAUUCCGAGUGUCGAGGUGAAAUUCGUAGAUAUUCGGAAGAACACCAUGGCGAAGGCGGCUCACUGGCUCGAUACUGACGCUGAGGUGCGAAAGUGUGGGGAGCAAACAGGACUAGAUACCUGGCUGUCCAACCGUAACGAUGA